rnacentral:rRNA from 1 species
UGGCGGCCAUAGCGGCAGGGUAACUCCUGAACCCAUUCCGAACUCAGAAGAUAAGACUGUCCACGUUCUGCACUGUACUCAGAUGCGCGAGCUCUCGGGAAACGCGGAUCGCUGCCUU